rnacentral:lncRNA from 1 species
ACAAUAUUUCAUGUAACAGAUUUAAAUAUCUAACUUAAAUUGAUGUCCUAGAAGGACAAUUUGAUAGCAUUUUAUUUGAUAUAUCUAUGGCACACCUGAAGCGUAAUGAUAUUCAAUUCUAGUACAAAAAAUCUCAAAACGAGUUAAAUCAUUUUUAAUUCCCAAGUCAUUGGACAUUAAUAGAUACUGAUGCCACCAAAACACGUCCAUGAUAGAUCUCCCGAGUUUGAGGGCUGAGAAAGAGCGCGAACAGAGUCUUCUGGUAUUGAAACAAAGGCAACGAGGUGUGUUCUCGUCGUCCCUCCGAUGCUUAAAUCAGAGAGGGACCUCGUUGCUCCUCCGAUGCUUAAGUCAGAGAGGGACGUGUGAAAGGAUAUACUGAAAU